rnacentral:lncRNA from 10 species
GAACCCGGGAGACGGAGAUUGCAGUGAGCCGAGAUCACGCUACUGCACUCCAGCCUGGGCAACAGAGCGAGACUCCAUCUCAAAAAAAAAAGAAAGGGGGGGCGUUGGGGGGGAAUGAGCCAACGGGAAGCCCCCCGCCCGCAGUUCCGGCCGCGCGGCGCCCCCCGCCCCCGCGCCCGCGGCCGCCCGCGCGCUGUCCCAGCCCCGGCGCGCCUCCCCCGGCGGGCGGGGCGGGGACCGUGACGCGUGCCCAUUGACGUCUCCGGAAUCCCGGCGGCGGCGGCCGACGCAGCCUCAUCAAUGGGGCUAAAAAUAGCGGCGCCCGGAAUAGCCGCGAGCGCCCCGCCCCGCGGCUCCCCCCACGCCGCACACCCGGUUACAUAACCCGCGGCCAGAGCCGGGGAGCUGGUUCUCAGGUGAGGGUGCCGAGGUCUCGCUCACACCUUCCGAGGCUGGGCACCUGGGGCUAGGUUAUAAAGAAACUUAGCCGGGGCUUCCCCAGGAAGAGGUGGAAAGAGCGAGGCCCAGAGAGACUCGGUGGCGGUCCAAAGUCACAGCGAUUCGGCUGCUGGCGAGGACAGGGCCUGGCCUUUGAGUCUGCGGGCGCCCUGCCUGCAUCGCUUGGCAUUCAUGCCACCCCAAGGGCAAGGAACCCAGGUAGCAGGGCACCCAGCUUCCACACGAGAAGGCAGCUUACAGAGAAAUAGGACUUUCUCCUGAAGAGGGCACUUCCCGAGGCGGGGGUGCAGGCCCCGGCAAAGCCCAGGUGAUGCCAGGAUUCCAUUACCUCACCCGGCGGCGCAGAGCUGCGGCUCGGUCAACACCCCUGCACACCAUUGGCUACGGUGCCGCCCCUCCGACCAAUAGCACGGGCGCAUGCAAAUGAACCAUUGAGCCGAAGCUUCCUUCGGGUCUGCUGCAGGC